rnacentral:rRNA from 1 species
UACAGAGGAGCCAAGCGUUGUCCGGAUUGACUGGGCGUAAAGCGCACGCAGGCGGUGGUGCGCGUGGGGUGUGAAAUCUGGCCGCUUAACGGCCAGGCGCCAUCCCAUACGGCACGACUGGAGGGCUGCAGAGGUCGAUGGAAUUGCCGGUGUAGUGGUGAAAUGCGUAGAGAUCGGCAGGAACACCCAGGGGGAAACCAGUCGACUGGGCAGCACCUGACGCUGAGGUGCGAGAGCGUGGGGAGCGAACAGG